rnacentral:rRNA from 1 species
GUGAGGAAUAUUGGUCAAUGGGCGAGAGCCUGAACCAGCCAAGUCGCGUGAAGGAUGAAGGUUUUAUGAAUUGUAAACUUCUUUUGCAGGGGAAUAAAGUACGGUACGUGUACCGUUUUGUAUGUACUCUGCGAAUAAGGAUCGGCUAACUCCGUGCCAGCAGCCGCGGUAAUACGGAGGAUCCAAGCGUUAUCCGGAUUUAUUGGGUUUAAAGGGUGCGCAGGCGGGUUGAUAAGUCAGCGGUGAAAGUUUGCAGCUUAACUGUAAAAUUGCCGUUGAAACUGUCGAUCUUGAGUGCAAAUGAGGUAAGCGGAAUGUGUUGUGUAGCGGUGAAAUGCUUAGAUAUAACACAGAACUCCGAUUGCGAAGGCAGCUUACUAAGCUACAACUGACACUGAAGCACGAAAGCGUGGGGAUCAAACAGGAUUAGAAACCCCGGUAGUCC